UGGGAGGAUUUUAGGGGUGAAAAGGAGGGAGUUUGGGCACUCCCUCAGAUGUGGGGUUUGUUCAUCUUCAACCUGGGAAGGUUUUGGAGACGGGGGAGGAUUUUUUAGGGGGUGAGGGGGGAUUUGGGGGUGAGGGCUGGAAACUGGGGGAGGGACGAUUUUGGGGGUGAAAAGGGCGUUUCCCCAGGCAGCAGUUUCACAGUGCAGGAUCCGAACCUGGGGAGGUUUUUAGGGAGGGAGGGGAGGGGAAUUUUGGGAAGAGUGUUUUUGGGGUGGGGGGGGUCCCCCCCAUCCCUAAGGCCACGGUCUCUCAUUCCCUCAAGAUCAGUACCUGGGAAAUGCGCCGGUGGGCUCUGGGGUCUAUCGCCUGCACCAGGGAAAAGGUAUGAUGCCGCCGCCGCUGGGUAUGCUGCCC